rnacentral:rRNA from 1 species
GAUGAACGCUGGCGGCGUGCCUAAUACAUGCAAGUCGAGCGAACGGACGAGAAGCUUGCUUCUCUGAUGUUAGCGGCGGACGGGUGAGUAACACGUGGAUAACCUACCUAUAAGACUGGGAUAACUUCGGGAAACCGGAGCUAAUACCGGAUGAUAUUUUGAACCGCAUGGUUCAAAGGUGAAAGACGGUCUUGCUGUCACUUAUAGAUGGAUCCGCGCUGCAUUAGCUAGUUGGUAAGGUAACGGCUUACCAAGGCAACGAUGCAUAGCCGACCUGAGAGGGUGAUCGGCCACACUGGAACUGAGACACGGUCCAGACUCCUACGGGAGGCAGCAGUAGGGAAUCUUCCGCAAUGGGCGAAAGCCUGACGGAGCAACGCCGCGUGAGUGAUGAAGGUCUUCGGAUCGUAAAACUCUGUUAUUAGGGAAGAACAUAUGUGUAAGUAACUGUGCACAUCUUGACGGGACCUAAUCAGAAAGCCACGGCUAACUACG